UUGACAGCCCUGGACACUGAUGUCUUAAUUAUCCUGAGAACAGGUGCACAUGGGCAUUUUCCCACCAAUGUGACUCGGUCUAGAGGCGGAGAGCCAACUCUCAGAUUAGAUGGUAGUUCAGUGUAAACCCUUCUCAAACUGCAGUCAUU
rnacentral:sRNA from 1 species